rnacentral:rRNA from 1 species
CGUACACUCCUGCGGGAGGCAGCAGUAGGGAAUCUUCCACAAUGGGUGCAAACCUGAUGGAGCAAUGCCGCGUGAGUGAAGAAGGUCUUCGGAUCGUAAAGCUCUGUUGUUAGAGAAGAACACGUGCUAGGUAACUACUAGCGCCUUGACGGUAUCUAACCAGAAAGUCACGGCUAACUACGUGCCAGCAGCCGCGGUAAUACGUAGGUGACAAGCGUUGUCCGGAUUUAUUGGGCGUAAAGGGAGCGCAGGCGGUCUGUUUAGUCUAAUGUGAAAGCCCACGGCUUAACCGUGGAACGGCAUUGGAAACUAACAGACUUGAAUGUAGAAGAGGAAAAUGGAAUUCCAAGUGUAGCGGUGGAAUGCGUAGAUAUUUGGAGGAACACCAGUGGCGAAGGCGAUUUUCUGGUCUAACAUUGACGCUGAGGCUCGAAAGCGUGGGGAGCGAACAGGAUUAGAUACCCGGGUAGUCC